UACGUAGGGUGCGAGCGUUGUCCGGAAUUAUUGGGCGUAAAGAGCUCGUAGGCGGUCUGUCGCGUCGGAUGUGAAACCCCGGGGCUUAACCCUGGGCCUGCAUUCGAUACGGGCAGACUAGAGUGAUGUAGGGGAGACUGGAAUUCCUGGUGUAGCGGUGAAAUGCGCAGAUAUCAGGAGGAACACCGGUGGCGAAGGCGGGACUCUGGGCCGAUACUGACGCUGAGGAGCGAAGGCCAGGGGAGCAAACGGG
rnacentral:rRNA from 1 species